rnacentral:lncRNA from 1 species
UUUUUUUUUUGGCUUAUAUGCUACAGAAUUUUAUUUAUAAAGUUCUGCCUCAUUUAAAAAACUUUUUUUCCACUGGGUGAUAUAAACACUUCUGGGCAUCAAUUGGUUGUCUAAUAUGAACCCCAAACUUACUACACCCAAAAUGGAAUGCAAACUCUUGAUCUAAAACAAUGCAAAAAAAAAUUUUUUUUAAUUCAUUUCCCAAAGUUCUAGGUUCCAGGGAAGAACAUAACCAUUCCAAAACCCGGCAAUCUUCUAUGACAUCUCCCUUCACGUCAUCUACCUUAGACAACUUGUCUUCAAUCUUGUUGACACAAAUUCCUACAACCUUGCAACUCUCCCAAGUCCCAUAGACUACCACCUUCUGCUACGGCUUGUGAAAAUCCUCCUGUCCAGUUGUUCUAGGCUCCCACUCUUUCCUUUCAGAUCAUUUUAGCCCUAGACUUAAAUCCUUCAGGGUCCUCCUAUUGCUGUGUGAAUAAAAACAAAAUAAUCUUUAAGUGGCCUACCAGGUCUUGCUCACUUGGCCACCCCCUCGCCUGCUGAAAUUCAACAAAAUUCACAGAGCCAUCUCAGAAGCCAAAUCUGAAUUUUUUGCCUUCCAUAGUCAGGAAGAAAGGUAGGAUCCAGAGAGCUGAAUCACAGCAAGGAGUGCUAACUGGAAAAGAAAAAAAUUAGGAAAGGCCCUCUUAAUAUAUUUUCUCUAUUCUCUGGGUGAAGGGGAGUGAGAUGGGGUAAGAGGAGAAAUAGAUCUAUUGAAAGAUGAUCCGUGUAAAUUUCUCAUGAUAGAGCAUAAAGCAAUCUACUGAGUGAGAGAAGUUAUUUGCAAAUGAAAUAUCCAAUAAGGAAAAGGAAAACAUUAUAUGGUCUCAUUCAUUUGGGGAGUAUAAAAAUUAGCGAAAGGGAAUAAAGGGAAAAGAGAGAAAAUGAGUGAAAAUAUCAUGAGAGACACCUAACUCUGGGAAAUGAACAAGGGGUAGUGGAAGGGGAAGUGGGCGGGGGGUUGGGGUGACUGGGUGAUGGGCACUGAGGGGGGCACUGGGUGGGAUAAGCACUGGGUGUUAUGUUAUGGUAUAUGUUGGCAAAUUGAACUCCAAUAUAAAUAAAUAAAUAAAUAAAUAAAUAAAUAAAUAAAUAAAUAAAUAAAAUAUCCAAUAAGGGAUUAAUAUCCAAAAUAAAGAACUUACACAACUCAACACCCAAAUAACAGUGUGAUUUAAAAAUGGACAGGAUCUGAAUAAACAUUUUUCCAAAGAAGACAUACAGAUGGCCAACAGGCAAAUCAAAAGAUGCUCAACAUCACUAACUAUUAGAUUAAUGCAAAUCAAAACUGCAAUGAGAUAUCACCUCACACCAGUUGAAACUGCUAAAAUAAAAAAAGAUAAAUCACAAGUGUUGGUGAAGAUGUGAAGAAAAGGAAACCCUUGUGCAAUGUUGGUGAUAAUGUAAACUGGUGCAACCACUAUGGAAAUCACUACCAGGUAUUUACUCAAAGAAAACAAAAAGUACUAAUUUAAAAAGAUAUGUGCAACCACAUGUUUAUUGCAGUAUUAUUUACAAUAACCAAAAUAUGGAAGCAACCUAUAUGUCCAUCAAUAGACAAAUGGAUAAAGAAGAUACAGUGAUACACACACACACACAGACACACACACACACGCACGCACUGGAAUAUUACUCAGUUACAAAAAAGAAUGGAAUCUUGCCAUUUGCAACAACAUAGAUGAACCUAGAGGAUAUCAUACUAACUGAAAUAAGUCAGACAGAGAAAGACAAAUACCAUGCUAUCACAUUUACAUGUGGAAUCUGAAAAACAAAAUGAACAAACAAAAAACGAGACUCCUAAAUACAGAGGACAAACUGGUAGUUGCCAGAGAGGCGGUGGGGAGUGGUGGGUAGAGCUGGGUAAAACAGAUAAAGGAGACUAAGACGUAUUAACUCCCAGUUAUAAAAUAAAUAAGUCACAGGGGUGAAAAGUACAGCAUAGGGAAUAGAGUCAAUACUAUUGUCAUAAUAUAUGGUGACAUAUGGUGACUAUACUUAUCAUGGUGAGCUUUACAUAAUGUAUAAAGUUGUCAAAUCACUAUGUUACACACCUGAAACUAAUAUAAUAUUUUAUGUUAAUUAUAUUUCAAAAAAAAUUUAAAAUCAUAAUAAAAGUCUCAUGAAAGAAAAUAAGCAUUUGGAUACUUUCUGACAUUUCAAGAUGAUGCACUCGGGUGGGGUUCUGAGUCCUGCUCGGUGGAGUGAUGUCUGCUCUGUGACUCAUGUAACCUCUGUCACAAUCCUCAGCCAUGCAUAAAAUAUUUUUCCUGCUUUUAAAAUACCUUCAUUUUCUAGGAUUUUGACGCAAAGUCACUGCAACCCAUUUGUAGCAAGUCAAACCUUGCUUUCAGAAUAACAUAUACUUUUACACGCUCACUCCACUGAAAUAUGGGGAAGUCAUUUUCAGGAAUUUAUUUAUUCCAAAUCUUUCAGAACCAAGUAAAGAUGUUUGUUUUUCAAAAGGUUGCUUAAUGAUCAUUCUUUUUGACAUUACAUGAUGGAAAGUCAACAAUGUGACAUUUGCCAUAAGAAAAACAGAAAGAUGGGGCUGAGAAGUACAAUAACAAGAGCUGCCACCGCAGCAGCCAGUAAGUCUGGGAUGAUUUUUCGGUGCAAUUUGUUUCUUUUAGUCUGGCAAAGGUUUUGGCUUCAGUCUCAUGUUCUUUGAUUAUUAUUAUGCCUGUCUACUAGUGGAAACUGCAAGUACUCUUUCUGUCUUUCCACCCUGGAAGAGUGGAAAGAAGAAAUGAGCCAAAUUUGCUCUGAACACGGGUUUGGAAGAAAACGAUCCCACUAUUGAGUGGAAAGAUCCAGAAGGGCUAUUUAUCUCUACAACCAUAUUCACUGGAGAGUCACUCCAUUACCGAGUCUCUGCACAUAUGCAGGGUGAAAGCUUUGAUGAGCAGUGUGUGGGGUAUGGGGCUAACUUGGAACUAAUUUGUUCAGGGUGAGCCAUAAGCUUUAUUGCUGAUAGCAUUUCCCGGAGAUGCCAAAACCUUCUCCAUUUACAGCAAAUCCACCACUAAACUGCAUCCCAGGGCACCACAGCUUCAGGUACAUGAGGUGUACAAUACCCUGCUUGACCCUGCAGUGAUCUUUGAACAACAACUGUGCGAUUAAGCAUAACUAGCUGCCACCUAAUGGCUUUUCCUUCUGCCACCCAUAUUUUGAGGUCCAAGUGAUGUACAGCUAUACUCUGUGCCCUUUAUAUAUGGUGACUACAUCCAAAUUGCAUAAUGUCAGGAUGGAUUAGACAGCAUCUUUUAAAAGAAAAUGUAAUUCUCAUGUGAAUGUUUUUAAAAUGUAGAGAAUAGGGAUAUAUCAAUUUCAAGGAAUUUUCUUCUUUAAUGGCAUAUCUUCUGGUGGUUCCUAAUGCACAAUAAAAAUAUAUAUAAUUUUGGGGGAUCCCUGGGUGGCUCAGUGGUUUAGUGCCUGCCUUUGGCCCAAGGCAUGAUCCUGGAGUCCCGGGAUCAAGUCCCACAUCGGGGCUCCCUGCAUGGAGCCUGCUUCUCCCUCUGCUUGUGUCUCUGCCUCUGUGUCUCAUGAAUAAAUAAAUAAAAUAUUUUAAAUAAAUAUAUAUAUAAUUUAUAUUUAAAUAUUUAAUGAGUUAGUCAUAGCAGAGAAAGACUCAGGAAAAAAAUGGAGUUUCAUGAAUUCCAGUAAUGAAACUUUAUAAAAUAAACAUGGGGAGUGUAUUAGUCUUCUGUGACUGCAUGACAAAUUACUAUAAACUUAGCAGCUUAAAACAAUGCAUUUGUGUUAUCUCACGGUUCUUUAGAUCAGAAGUGCACUCAGAAUGCCAGGGUUCUCCACGCAGGGUCUCAUAAGACUGAAACCAAGGUGCUCGCAGGAUGUGGGCCUGUCUGGGCUUUGAGGGCAUCUUCCACAUUCAUCCAGGCUAUGGCAGGAUUUAGUCUGCUGGAUGUAGGCCUGAGGUCCCUGUUCUUUGGCCAGCUAUCAGCUGGGGACCCUCAAAACUCCAAGAGGCCAUUCUCCAUCCCUACCAUGUGGCUCCUUCCAGCGUCAGAAGGGAAAAUCCUUCUUACAUGAGAUCCUUCUCCUGUUUCCCAUCUCUGACUUCCUCUCCCUCUGACUUCUCGACAGCUCAUGGAACCAGGUGGGGCCAAGUCCACUGUGCUGCACAACACAGCUUAAUAACAGGGGGAGAUGCCAUCCUAGUCACAGCCUCAGUGGAGGGCACUGCGCUGAGGAUCUGUGGUCCGAGGCUAGGGGCAGCUCAACUCAUUCCCCCAGCACCGUGGCUCCCCACUUUGCAUAGCUUGGGGCCACAGCCCAGGGUCUUGCUCAAGGCCCCACGGAGGCCACUGCUGUCAUCUUUCCCUUCCUCUGCCACCUCUUUUCAAGUUCUAUUUUAGCUCCUUGGAUGUUACUGUUUUUUGUGGAUCUUUUGACACCUUUAAUUGCUCUUCUCUUCCUAUGCCUAUUAAGUUUUCUCACCCUUUGAUAUUGGCAUUAGGAACAUUUUGAAUAAUUUGCCAAAUAAUGUUUUACUACUGCUGUUCCCUGUAAGUUACACUGCUCUGUCUUUAACCCUGUAUUAAUUUUGCUGUAGUGUUAGGCUGCACAGAGUGAGAUUAGGUUACAAAUAAGAUAAGAGGGCUUCUUAGACACCAUGUCUUAUUUCUCAUGGCUACUAACUCAAAGCAGAUGUGAUUUAAUAUUGCAAACUUGCUUUGAAACCCAAAAACUGAUUUUAAAAAUGAUUUCUUCUUUUGGCACCCAGCUAGCCUGUGCCUAUCCAGCUAAACUUUGAGCACCAACUCUAAGAAGGAGUUAGAACAUUUUUCUGACAUUGAAAUUCUUUCAAACUCUCCACAAAACUAAAGCAUAGAAAUAUUAUCAUCAAUAUCAGAACCAUGAUUCUUCAAAUCCUGGCACAUUUCAUUGGUGUGCUUUUGAGGUAUUCUAAAGCCUGGAUUUGUUUCUGACUCAUAUGAAUAAAUAGAGAAAUCCUUACUUUUUUCUGGUCCUCACCCACUUGGUUCCCAUAUUGGAAAAGCAAAGAAGAGUAACUCUAUGACCACAUCAACAAAGUGGACAAGAGCCACAUUUUUAUGUUUCACAAAGUCACAUUUUUCAUCACACAUUUUUCAUCACAUGUCUGUGACCUUUGAGAUCACCUAGACAGAAUUUCAUUUCUGCCUAUGAACAGCAGAAAUGGGCUGUUUCUGUGGAUUCUCAAAUAACACCGGCUGCUCCAGCACUUAGCUUUCCUUCUCUUUGUCAUCUGUCCUCUUCCUGCCCACCCCACUUAAUUUCUGCAAAAUGUGAUCCACGCUUUUUAUGACACACUCUGGAGCUCUCUCUAUCAGGAAGAAGGAUGCUAUUUGUUCGCCACUUUGUUCUGAAACACAACUUAAAAAUGCAUCUCCUGUUGUCACUGAAUUCGUCUUAAUUGUAAGGUGAAAAGAGACAAAGAAGGCAGUGUCCUAGAGGGAACCUUGAAAACAAUGAGAAGGUAAGUUCUGAGAAAC